GAAGCUCGCCAGGCACUGCCAGCCGCUCCCAAACACCCCCAAAUGAAGUUCCCUUCCGUGGGGGAGGACCCUCCCCUGGUUCCUAUGGAAACAGAGUGGGGAAAGUGAAGCUCAGAGGUGUGAAGUGACUUCUCCAGCAACACACAGGUGGCUGUUUCCUCUCCCGUCUGAACAGAGCAUGACCCCAGAGCGCCGAGCGGUGCCAUGAUGGAGGAGAGGCCCUGGAUGAAGACAGUCUCAACCCGUCUGGCCGCCAGCCCCCUGCAAGCUCCGGGCAGACCCUCCUCUCACCCCCGUGGGCUUGUUCUUUCCCAUUGUCCAGUGUUGUCUCCCACCCUUCCUGCUCCGAGCACCUCAGUUAUGUGGUGUCACCUCCCUUCUGUAUGGGCCACCCCCACUCUCUCCUCUGUCCAGGCUGACCUUCAGCCUUCGUGCAGCUUCAGGCCUGCAGCCAGGGCUCACCACACCCUGAAGGCCAGCAGCUCACACCUGCUCUCCAGUUUGUAAGUACCAACUGCCCUGGCAAUAUCUUGGCUGCGUCUUUCCUGUCCUCAGAACAAUGAAGACUUUGGGAACCUGUCACUUUUGUUCCCCAGCUGUCCAUGGUCUCAGGAGAGUGGGGAUUUGGAGGCACAGAGAGGGCGCAUGACCUGUCCAGGCUAUUCAGGAAGAAGGCUGGCAGAGCCCGCUGCAACUGGCUUGUGAGCUCAGGGUCUCCAUGAGGCUCCUGUUGAGCCUGGCUUCCUGGGAUUGGCUGGAAGCACAGAUGAGCCUUCCUGGGCAAAGGCCCCAUUCAAGGCCUUUCUCUAAGCAAUCAGCCUGGAGCACAGGAGACUCCACGCAAGCUCCCUGCCUGGUCUACAGAUGGUGGGUUCUUCCCGUAGACACCAGUGGAGUGUGGCUGCGCCUCUGUGGCUGCUUGGUGUUUAGUCUUACAGUCAGAAAUGCUGCAAUAUCAGCACCAGAAAGCACCUUUGCCUGGCAAUUCCACUGCCAUUGAGCCUAAGGAUGGAUGUAGACAAGAAGUAAAGAUGCUUCUCCGAGCAUGUUCAUGACAGGACUGUUCAUAUUUGAGCAAAAUCAGAAAUCGGUGCUCCAACAAUAGGAGGCUGGUUAUGCCCAGGUAUAUACACGCAAGGAAAUACUGUGCGGCUGA